CCUGAGAAACCCAAAAGAUCGAAUGGGGAGAUUCAUCGUCAGCGAUACUGGCACGUGUGCGGUUCGUGAUGCCGGAGACUUCGGUCUCAUGGCACACGUCCGUAUGGUUUUUUGCCGGGUUUGUCGUCGGCGUGCACUUCUCCCCUAGUAGGACGUCGCGACCCGUUGGGUGUCGGUCUACGGCCCGAGUGGGCGCCUGUCAUGUGCUUAGCUUUACGGCGUCAUGUGGCAGACCCUCGGUUGUCUGACCAGCUGCCCGGCGGUACUCGCACGGUAUCGAGUCGCAAAUAUUUGAACUGCGUCCGGCCCGCCGCAAGCGAGGCCAGUGUUUCCCGGAUGUACGGACUUUGCGCCGUCACCGGGCCUGGCCAGCUGUUGGUUGGCGGUGUCCUGGGACUGACUCAUGAAUUAUGAUACCGGUCGGCGACGCUACUGCUUUGGGUACUUUCAGGA
rnacentral:rRNA from 1 species